AACCAGGUUUUCCGAAGGAAAAAACUGGUUAUUAGAUUGGCGAAUGCGGGCGGGCUGGCUGGCUGGCUGGCGGGCUGGCUGGCUGGCGGGCUGGCGGGCUGGCGGAAUAAGCUUGUCCGGGCCAUAACUAUGUCGUUCAUUGUCAGAUUUUAAAAUCAUUUGGCACAUUUGUUCACCAUCAUUGGACGGUGUGUCACGCGAAAUAAUUACGUCGAUAUCUCCAAGGUCAAGGUCACACUUUGAGUUCAAAGGUCAAAAAUGGCCAUAAAUGAGCUUGUCCUGGCCAUAACUAUGUCAUUCAUUGUGAGAUUUUAAAAUCAUUUGGCACAUUUGUUCACCAUCAUGGGACGGUGUGUCGCACGAAAGAAUCACGUCAAUAUCUCCAAUGUCAAGGUCGCCACGACUAAAAAUAGAUUUAAAAAAAAAAAAAAACUUACAAAGGGGGUUAAUUUUUUUUGGUCAUUUCAAAAGUUCA